rnacentral:rRNA from 1 species
UACGGAGGGUGCAAGCGUUAUCCGGAUUCACUGGGUUUAAAGGGUGCGUAGGUGGGCAGGUAAGUCAGUGGUGAAAUCUCCGGGCUUAACUCGGAAACUGCCAUUGAUACUAUCUUUCUUGAAUACCGUGGAGGUCAGCGGAAUAUGUCAUGUAGCGGUGAAAUGCUUAGAUAUGACAUAGAACACCAAUUGCGAAGGCAGCUGGCUACACGAAUAUUGACACUGAUGCACGAAAAGCGUGGGGGAUCAAAACAGG